AGCCGCUGAUUAGCGGAUCAGAGAGCCGGGCACGUCGCGGCCGCUCCCCGCCGCCUUCCCCCGGUCACAUCAUCCUGCCCCCACACCUCCCUGUCCCCCACCGCGGCCCUUCCGAGCCGGGGGAGAGCCCCGCCGGCACCCCGGGGGUCCGGCCGGCGGCUGGCAGCGCUCCCGGAGGCGCCCGCCUCAACACAGAAAAUCCUUCCUGCAGUGUGGGCCAGGUUAUACCCGAUGUCUCAUACAGGGCAGUAUCUUAUUCCAUGCAUGACUUACUCAUGUUGCAGAAGCAGGAUGACUUCAACUUAUACAGAAGACCACUAGCUACACAAGGACGACAUUUGCUAUUGCGUGUGCUGAUGAAAAAAUUGCAAAUGAGUAGAUCCCUGAGAUGCAGCUAGAUUAACAUAUGUUCAGUGUGAGUUUGUUAAUAUGGAAGAUGUCAGAGAAAUGAAAAACUCAGAAACCUUGAUCAAGGCAUCAAGACAACGGGACACAUCAUUUUGACACAGGAAUUUUUAUAGAUCGCAUGGGACUGGCAGUACUCCAGAAUUAGUUCCAGGCUGAAAUCCCUUGUGAUUAUAUAACAGCUCUCAAGAGGAAGCUGCUAACAAGACCAUCUGACAUUUUUUUGCCAGCUGUUUUAGUGGAGGCAUGUUGGAUUAGACUGAGCUCCACCUUCUUUGAUGAGCAAAGCAUUUGGAAAAUGACAGAGCCUGAAGAAAAAGGGAAUUCAAAAUCUGGCUCCCCAUUUUGUCCUGAGCAGGUCUGCUCUUCUACAUGUGUGGACAAGUAGGCAAGAGUGGUCUACAAGCUCCUUCUCAGCAAGCCCGGCUGUUAGGAGUCUUGACUUCGCAUGAUGCAGUGACUCCUGUUAAGUUCCUACAUGAGAUGGUUGAAGAAGAACCUGGUGCACGUCAUGAUCAAAUGUUUUGAUGAAGUAUUUUGCUCCACCAGCCAAAUGAAGGAACAAAUUCCCUGAUUAAGGUCAGUGUGCCAUAGUUCAGUGAGAAGCACAGUGUCUUCAGAUGGUGCUGAACAAGGAUAUUGGUGAUUUUCUGUCUCACAGCUUUUCCCCAUGAUGUGCUGUUAAAAGCAUAUAUCCAGAUAUCCAGAAAAAAAAAAAGUGGAAAAAAAGAAGCAGCUGACCAAUAACUUACCUAGAAAGCAUCCAGCCUGGAUCUCAGCUACGAACUUUGCUUGGGACACCACACAAUCUGCUGACAUUUUGGAACUCCAGGAGAAAAACAGAACAUUUCCAACAGCAAAGGUCUCCUGAAGUUGUUGAAAGAAGACUAGAACAGUGGUUCUUCUUGCACUUUCUUUUCUUAAGAUGCAAUGCUGGUUGAACCUUGGCCUUGGCUCUUCUCCUCCUGCAGCUUUGUGUUGCAUCAUUGGAAAAUUGGCUGUCUGAGAGUUAUCCCAGGGGUAGAGACUACUGCUGUCUUCCUGGGUGUUGUGGGGAGAGCUCUACUACUCUGGUAGAAAUCAAGAAAACCUACAUUAUAGAAGAAUGCUUUCUUAAUGGAAUUAUCUUACAAAAUCUAGAUGGAACACAAAGCAAAAGAAGACUCCCUGAUGCAUUUGGCAUGAAGCCGUUUCCACCCAGUUAUGUAUUCUCAGCUAGUUUACAGCAAAGGGGCCAGAAUCUGGCAAAAGUGACAUAUUCAUAUAAUUAACUUCAUGCCCAUGAUCUAUAAGAUGAACUUCACAAGACCUGCUCUUUGGGUGCCAAGCUAAGCACACAUUUUGGAUUUUGAAGUCCUGAAAACUUCAUGGGGACUUGUCUGAUUGUCCUGACUCUAGCAUCAAACCUAAAGUUCACCUGAAGGUUUGACACCUGUAACAUGCCUGUGGAUGGCACAGGCAUUAAAUAAUGAAAUAUCUGCACUGGGAAGACAGCAUGAGAAAGCCUAAGGGAAGCUGCACCUCCCGUGAAAGACUGAAGAACAGUAUUCAUGAAGACUUGAAGAGCAAGGAGACUGUAUUGCCAGUGCAUAACAGAGGGAGUCAGCAGGUUGAAGUGACCUAUUCCAAGUAUAUGCAGGAUGGCAUUUUUUUGAAAUUCUUUUCUCUUCCUGUAUGAGGAUAUGACCAAGGACUCAAGAUUCUUGAGUAACACUUUCAUCACUUGGUCUGCUUUUAUUCAGGUUUUACUUGGCUGUUUUUAUUCAGGUUCUGUGGUAGUUCCAUAGCUGUAAUGCAAAAAAAGAUCAAUGUAAAAGUACAUCUAUUUGAUUUACUUUUUAUGUCAUGAUGUUGGACAAAAGUAUUUUUAAAAUCACAGCAUACACACUGGAUCUCAGGGCUUUAGGCAUGUUUAUUUAUUUUUUUUUAAUAUAUUAAAAAAGUUAUUAAUUGCACAAGAUAUACUACAUGGCCCAAGCCACUUAAGAGCUGGAAAAAUGGAAUACUUUGUAUCUGGAUAAGGAGCAAUAUUCACAGUAUGAGAUAGUUAUAAUAUAUAACAUUUGACAGACCAAAAUAUCUACCUACUUAGUUAUUUUCAGCGUAUGGUUAUGAAAUAUAAGCCUUCUUCAAUACAUUGUUUGUGUGGCAGUGUGUGUAUGUCUUUUAUGAAUUUCUAAUUUUAUUUUAUUUUUUUUUCAUACAGAAAAGAGGAAGUUUAAAAAACAGGACAGAGAAGAUUCUCUUUUUGUUUAUUUCAGAAAAUAUGUGUCUUUUAAAAGUAGAUUUGAAUUGGUUCCAUUAUUCAAAACAUAUAAAACAUCUUAAAGGCUUUGACAAAUUCUAUUCAGAAGCUGCCAAAAAAAUGAGUUUUAUAACUAAUAAUAUAUCACAGUUUUGAUACCAAGAAAGCUGUUGAAGACACUGCCAGUCAUUCAUUCUCUUCCAGUUCAAAUGCAGAUCCUUGUAGGGAUGACAUCUCACUACCCUGACAUCUGGAAUGUAGUAACAAAAUGCUGCUGGCUCAGAGAAACAGGAGCAACAUGUAAUAUUCAUUGCCAAAUGUCACUUAGCAACAUAACAUGUACAAUGGAGGAAAACUCACAUUAGCCAUACCCUAACCACCCCCCCAAAAACAACAAACAAUAAAAACAACAACAAACACAACAAAAAGCUCCAUGUAAGAUGUAUUUUGAAAUUAAGUAUUGAAAUUAAUGAUGGCAUUAUGCUACCUAUGAAAGUUUUAUGUUAAAAAUAUAAGGAGAUGAAACUGAAUAGAAAAGAAGUUCUGGUUCGUUCCACCAGAGAGCUGAUACAAGGCACCAUUAGCCUUUGCAUUGAAAUGCUGACAGGUCUCUCUUGGGAACAGGGUGUCAUGAAUUAUAUUUGCAGCUUCAAAAUCUUCUCUGGCAUGUUAUUGAAUUGGUGUUUAACUUGAGUUACUUACAGGAUUAUCCAGCAGCCAAGCAGAGUUUUUUUGCUUUCAAUUUUUUACUUCAGUAUCUGUCACCAUCUUCCCCUGUGAAGUACCUAAUUGUAUACCUACACUUUGCAGAUGUAAAGGGGCUUAAGUUCUGAAUGGUCCAUUACAUUUCAGUGGCACAGUACAGCUUCAGAUGAAUUUAGUUUCCAAAAGUGUCGUACUGGCAUCAAUGGGCUUGUCAGCCUAAGAAGAUUCACUGUUUUGAUUUGGCUUUGGUCUUGAAAGAGAUGGUAACAAAUAGAAAAAUAUAGAAAAUGGAACUUUAAGUUUACCCAAUGCUAAAGUAACCUAAUAUUUUAUUGUAUUAUCUACCAGAUUUAGUUUAUCUGCAUCUUCUCUAUCCUACCUUGUGUUUAAGCAUCCGUGCAGGAAUUAUAAGGCAGUUAAGAAGCUGGUUUACAGAGAGGCCACAGAAGUUACAUGUGAAAAGUUAAGGAUUAAAGAGGCAGGAGUCACAGAUGCAGUUAAACUGACAACAGUUUGAUCUUUUUUAAAGGUGUCCAUUUGGAUGCUCUAUGUGGACAAAUAUUAGGUAUAUGUUAAAAAUAUAUAUAUAUCCUAAUAAUCUGAAGCUGAGCUAUCACUAAUGUGGCACAGUAUCACAUUAAAGAGUAAGAGGACCUUAAGGACCUGCAGAGAUGGGAUGAAACCAAAUAGCCUAAAGAAACAGUAAUAAUAAUAUCUGGUAGCAACCAGGAGCUUAACAGUUAGAAAUGUUGUUGAGAAAGACCUAGCAACAUUUGUACAGUACAAGUGGACUACGUGCUGUCAAUGCAAAACAGUUAAUAAGAAGGCAAAUGUACAGUGGUGCAUAGGGAGUUUGCAAUAAGUUAGAGAAGAACCAAAGUCAUUGACAAAACAUCUGUGUAAACCGUAGUUUGAGUGCUGUGUUCAAUUCUGGAGAGCUUUGUUCCUGAAAAAGGGAAAGAACUAAGAAGAAAAGGAUUAUUAGGGGUGCUUGGAGGAAUAAAAGUCCCGUUUUAUAAGAGAGGUUGCUUUCUUGUGCGUACAGGGGAGUGAGUAAAUACAAGCAUGGGAAAAGAAACAAUUUCAACUAAAAAUGUUAGAAAAAAAAAAGUAAAAAAUAAACAAAAUAA